rnacentral:rRNA from 1 species
UACGAAGGGGCUAGCGUUGUUCGGAAUUACUGGGCGUAAAGCGCACGUAGGCGGAUUGUUAAGUCGGGGGUGAAAUCCUGAGGCUCAACCUCAGAACUGCCUUCGAUACUGGCAAUCUCGAGUCCGGAAGAGGUGAGUGGAACUCCUAGUGUAGAGGUGGAAUUCGUAGAUAUUAGGAAGAACACCAGUGGGCGAAGGCGGCUCACUGGUCCGGUACUGACGCUGAGGUGCGAAAGCGUGGGGAGCAAACAGG